rnacentral:rRNA from 1 species
UCUACGGGAGGCAGCAGUGGGGAAUAUUGGGCAAUGGAGGAAACUCUGACCCAGCAACUCCGCGUGAAGGAUGAAGGUUCUCGGAUUGUAAACUUCCGUCGCGAGGGAUGAAGAAUGACGGUACCUCGUAAGAAUGCCCCGGCCAACUACGUGCCAACAGCCGCGGUAAUUGGUAGGGGGCGAGCGUUGUCCGGAAUGACUGGGCGUAAAGGGAGUGUAGGGGGGUAAUUAAGUUAUGUGGGAAAGCCCGCGGCUCAACCGCGGAAUUGCACAUCAAACUGGUAGGCUGGAGUGCAGGAGAGGUAAGUGGAAUUCGCGGUGUAGCGGUGGAAUGCGUAGAUAUCGGGAGGAACACCAGAGGCGAAGGCGACUUACUGGACUGUAACUGACGCUGAGGCUCGAAAGCGUGGGGAGCAAACAGGAUUAGAUACCCUUGUAGUC